AUUUAUAUAGUUUAAGACAAAACAUUACAUUUUCACUGUAAAGAUAAAGAAAACUUUUAUAAAUA
rnacentral:tRNA from 1 species